rnacentral:rRNA from 1 species
CUCAUGGUUUCACGGUAUUGCAAUGAGAACAAUUUAAAACCCUUAGCGAGAAUCAAGUGGAGGACAAGUCUGGUGCCAGCACCCGCGGUAAUUCCAGCUCCACUAGCGUAUAUUAAAGUUGUUGCAGUUAAAAAGCUCGUAGUUGAACCUCUGUCUGGGGCUAGUUUUGGCUUUGGUCAGGCUAGUUCUAGGCAUCCGCCUACAAGACUUAGAGGGCAUUCAGUUGUUCACUAGGAGGAGUAGGCAUUUUACUUUGAAAAAAUUAGAGUGUUUAAGGCAGGCAAUCGCCCGCAUAUAUUAGCAUGGAAUAAUAGAAUAGGACACUUUUCCAUUUCGUUGGUUAUUGGAAUCGUGUAAUGAUUAAUAGGGACAGUUGUGGGCAUUUGUAUUUAAUUGUCAGAGGUGAAAUUCUUGGAUUUAUUAAAGACAAACUAACGCGAAAGCAUUUGCCAAGGAUGUUUUCAUUAAUCAAGAACGAAAGUUAGGGGAUCAAAGACGAUCAGAUACCGUCCUAGUCUUAACUAUAAACUAUUCCGACUCAAUGUUUGACUGGCUUAUAUAACCAGUUGAGCGUUGUAUGAGAAAUCAAAGUCUUUAGGCUCUGGGGGGAGUAUGGUUGCAAAGCUGAAACUUAAAGGAAUUGACGGAAGAGCACAACCAGGAGUGGAUUCUGCGGCUUAAUUUGACUCAACACGGGGAGACUUACCAGGUUAAAACAAUAGUGGGAUUGACAGUUUGAGAGCGCUUUCUUGAUUGGUUGGGUGGUGGUGCAUGGCCGUUCUUAGUUGGUGGAGUGAUUUGUCUGCUUAAUUGCGUUAACGAACGAGACCUUAACCUGCUCACUAGACUGGCGAUCAUCAAUCGUUAGCUCUUCUUAGAGGGACUUUGGUUGUUUUAACUCCAAGGAAGUUUGAGGCAAUAACAGGUCUGUGAUGCCCUUAGAUAUCCUGGGCCGCACGCGUCAUACAAUGACUAGUUCAGAAAGUUUUCUCCUGACCCGAAAGGGGAUGGGUAAUCUUGAUAAUACUAGUCGUGUUAGGGAUCGAUCUUUGCAAUUAUAGAUCUUGAACGAGGAAUUCCUAGUAAGUGCGGUUCAUCAGACCGUACUGAUUACGUCCCUGCUCUUGUACACACCGCCCGUCGCUUCUACCGAGUGGGUGGUCCGGUGAGAUAAUUGAACUUCGCAGGUAACUGAGAGGAAAGAUUAUCAAACCUAUCCACCU